UUCUUCCUCCAAGUUCAUAUCGAAACUGCUCCAUCAUCUUCUUCAGUCCACCACCAUCACCAUCCCCAAUUGGUGUUGAGGAACAGAGUGAACUAAUUUUUUCAAUUCCAGUGUGUUCCGUCGAUUUUUCCCUCGUCUCUCCAUUCUCGAUCUUUCUCCUCUCCAUCGAACUCUUCUUCCUUCGAAAAUUGGUGGAAUUCUGUUGCUACAAUUGUUCGAGAAUAACAACGUGAGGAACAGCGUGAACUAAUUUGUUCAAUUUCAGUGAUUUUUCCUUCAAUUUCAGUGUUGUUGAACUAAUUUGUUCACCAAACAUCGAAAUUGAAGAAGAAUUCGACGGAAUUUCACGAUUAAACCUUAACUUCCAAAGCAAUCACAAUUUUCCUAAGUUAGAACAAGGAAACUCAGUCAAAAAUAGACGAUAUGUGGAUAAGAAUUUGAGCAGGGAAGAAGAGGAGUUGUUACUGCCAUGGAUGUCACUGGGUUAAGUGAGAUUCUCGAAUGGUGAUCUGAAACGGAAGAGAUUCAGUGGAAGUAUUAGAGUCUUGAAUGAAUUAGAAGACAUGGGUUCUCAUCAUAUUUGAUUUGCAGCAAGGAAAUGAAGAAACCAAGAAAAAUUCCUGAUGGUGGAAGUUAGGGUUUGGUUGAUGGCCGGGAAUUUAAUUGAAGUAAAUGGAGAUGCUGCUACUGUUGGCUUGAGGGUAUGAUGGUGCUAUGACUAAUUGCAGUUGAAAUGAACAGGCAGGGGAGUAGAGGUCUAAAUCUAGUGCCACUCUGGCUAGGCGCCCUACAGCCAUCCAAACUGUUGCAUCUGGUACUGUUUCUCAUUCAGCUUUACCACACAUUGCUCAGGGAUCUUAAUCAGUAAUCCAAAUGCUCCUAAGGUGAUUCGUUUGAACAGUGACAUAUUGAGGAGCUCUCAGACACCUAAACCUCACUCAGUUGUUGUUAAGGCCGAUGCGAAUCCAAGUCCAGUUGUUCAAGUAUCAACCGUAGUUUGUGAAAAUUGCUAAGGAAAUGGUGUUGUGAGUUGCUCGCAGUGCGAAGGUAAUGGGGUGAAUUCUGUUGACCACUUAGACAGACGGUUCAAGGCAGGUGGUUUAGGUUGGCUUUGCAGGACAUGCUCAUUGCUGGAACCGAUGCAUCUUCUUCGACGCUUGUGUGGGCAAUGACAUAACUAAUUAGGAGUCCAACAGUGGUCGAAAUAGUACAAGAGGAAGUGAGAAGAAUUCUCGGCAAUAAGAACGUGGUACACGAAAUUGAUCUUCCCAAACUGAACUACUUGAAAUUAGUGGUAAAAGAGACACUGCGGAUUCAUGCUCCAGGACCAUUACUAGUUCCAAGGGAAACUAGAGAUGACUGCGUAAUAAAUGGGUAUGACAUCCCAGCCAAAACAAAGGUAUUCUUUUAUGCAAAAGCUAUUGCGAUGGACCCUAAGUUUUGGGAAGACCCUGAAGAGUUCCGACCAGAAAGAUUCACAACUAAGAACAUAGAAUUUAGAGGGCAAGACUUUGAGAUGGUACCAUUUGGGAUUGGACGCAGGGGUUGCCCUGGUAUUGACUCUUUUUUGGUCAUAAUUGAACUUGUUCUUGCAAAUCUUCUGUACUGUUUUAACUGUGAAUUGCCCCUUAGAGUGAAAAAGGAAGAAAUCGAUAUGCAAGAAGCUCCUGGUACCGCAGUGCACAAGAAGAUUCCACUCUUAUUGGUUGCUGGCGCUGCAAAUGUAUAUCCAAGUACAUAAGAAGUUGGGAAGCAGAUCAUAAAAGACGGCUUGGGUGAUGCCUAAAUAAAGACAUUUCAAGACGCACGAGUUAAAUUUAGUACCCUGCAAAAUUGGAAGAAGAUUUUUCUCAAUAAGAAGGUUUGCUAUUAGCUGAUCCAAACCAUUUCUAUGUAGGGGUAAUGUCUUGCUUGUAAGGUGAUAACAUUCUAAGCACAAGAUCAUGCAUGGUAUCAUCCAUGUCUUGCCAUCAGAUUGCUUGUGUUUUGUUAUUUUUUGAACAAUUUUUAUAUAUUAGAAAUGACCAAAUUACAA